AGAAGAAAAAUUUCUGCUUCACCUACCAAGUUUUUGAGCACCAUCCCAUCCUCACUGUCCAUCUCUCCCCAGGCCAGGGGCGCUCUGUGCUAUUCUGGUCUUUGUCAAAGGCUCGGCGGGGAUCCUUGAGAAUAACAGGCUGGAGAAGAUGGAGUUGCAUCGUCUGACACGCUGUCCCCAGGGCGCUCUGACCUUCUCCGAUGUGUCCGUGAACUUCACCCCAGAAGAGUGGACAUACCUGGACUCCUCUCAACGGAAGCUCUACAGGGACGUGAUGCUGGAGACCUACCAGCACCUGCGGGCCGUCGGGAAGCAGCCAGCUCCGUUGGAAUGUGUCUGAUCCUGAGCUCUGUGACAAUGUCUCAAGUGAGCAAUCCUGCCCUCAGCCCCAUGGGGAUGCGAAGACAGGCGGGAUGUCUUCCGUUGGUGAUCAAGAUGGAGAGAAUGACCUCAUUCUGAAGAAGCCCUCCCCUGGGAAAAGCUCCUCACAGUCUGUUGUACUCGGUUUUUGGACACAAACCCCCCCAAGGGGUCAGCCCCGGGACUGUGGGAGAGGAGCACCGUUUAUGGUGAAUCCCUCACACCGACAGGCCCACAAGCAAAGUCACCAUGAACUGACCC